AUACGGAGGAUGCGAGCGUUAUCCGGAUUUAUUGGGUUUAAAGGGUGCGCAGGCGGGCGAUUAAGUCAGCGGUGAAAGGCUCGGGCUCAACCGGAGCAGUGCCGUUGAUACUGGUUGUCUUAAUGCGGUCAAGGCCGGCGGAAUGUGGCGUGUAGCGGUGAAAUGCAUAGAUAUGCCACAGAACACCGAUAGCGAAGGCAGCUGGCCGGGCCUGCAUUGACGCUGAGGCACGAAAGCGUGGGGAUCGAACAGGAUUAGAUACCCUGGUAGUCCACGCUGUAAACGAUGGACACUCGUUGUCGGAGACAGACAGUCGGCGGCCAAGCGAAAGUGAUAAGUGUCCCACCUGGGGAGUACGGUCGCAAGGCUGAAACUCAAAUGAAUUGACGGGG
rnacentral:rRNA from 1 species